rnacentral:tRNA from 1 species
GGCUCUGAAGUAUAUAUUACGUUGAAUUGCAAAUUCGAAGAAGUAGCUUAAGUGUUGCCGGAGCUU